GAGAAAGUAAGCAAGGGCAGACGGUGGAUGCCUUGGCUCUCGGAGGCGACGAAGGACGUGAUAAGCUGCGAAAAGCCCGGGGGAGGCGCAAAUAGCCCUUGAUCCCGGGAUAUCCGAAUGGGGCAAC
rnacentral:rRNA from 1 species